UUCGACUUACUUCACUUUUUCUGGAGCCCACACGUAUCGUCUUCUCCUUGUCGUUUGUCAUCUUUGAACACUUGUAUCAAUUUUUAUAAUCGCCAAUGACCUAGCACUGUGAUGUUAUUUAUCCUGAAUGAAAUCUUGCACGUACAGCUCAAGGUUCAAGUCAAACAAAUGAACGAACUUAUCAGCGUAUAAACCUUUACGCCACAGUAGCAAAACUUAAUUAAUCUGAGAUGUAGAAAUCCUCGAACGCAACUGCUCCAAUCCACAAAGAGUCAACGAGCCAAAACACACCAAACCGCAUCAGUCAACCGAUCUGAACGAAGUGGAGCUGGGGAGAGAAAAAAUGUUGAUUACGAAAAUGUUAUCAGGUGCUUGAAAUGAGUGAAGGGGGUGCUGGGGCUAUUUAAAAAUGGUUGCAUUUUCGAGUACGUUGCCAUAUCUACAUUAAAGUAGAAAGAGAUCAAAGAUUAUCGAUACAAAUAAUUUUAUUGAUUGCAAUAAUUGUUUGCUCUAAAAAAACAUUAUAUUUGAUAUAUGUGUAUAAAUUAACGGUGAUUAAGUAAAGCAUGGAUAUUGGGAGCAUGUGUUGAAAUCCAAGUAGGAAAAUGUAAAAUGUAGAUAAAUAAAUGUAUAAAGGAUUAAGAUUUGAGAGCAUUCACCUGGUUCCAAUAAAUACGAUAGACGAGGUAAUGACAUUGCAA